GAAAGAAAGAAAGAAAGAAAGAAAGAAAGAAAGAAAGAAAGAAAGAAAGAAAGAAUUUAAAAAGAGGAAAAAAAAAAAAAAAAAAAAAAAAAAAAAGAUCGACCAGAGCAUGCUGGGAACAGAGGAGACCUCAGGUUUUUGGCCUGGGAGAGCGUCUGCGGGGCUGGACUCGUGCCUUGUGCCCGGCCCCAGAGGCACCGCACCUGCCGAGGCGGGGCGGGUGCCAGCGGCGGAGGCAACGCGAGGUGUCCGCCGGAGGGGGAGGAACGCCCCGGCCCGCCCGACUUGAAAAGCCUCCACGUUCCCAUCGCUUUUUCAAUCCGCAAUACAUUUCACACCCUGUUAGGAGUUACUGCCGCCGAAACCGCUAAACGCUUCCAUGACUGCAGCAUUAUUUGCAGGGUACAGAACUCAGGAGAAGUUGUAGGGGAGAGGAGAGGGCAUUCAAAAAACAGACCAUUACUUCAUAGAUCUUUACAAGACCCGAACAGGCCCACAUCUGGACUGAGGAGCGGAGAUGAUGGAGAGCGAGGAAUCGGCUGCAAGCAGCCUGCUUCACAGGCACUCCUGGAUGGGUCACCCCAUGCCUGCGAGCAAUGGGUCAGGGCAGUGCUGUCAAUAACAUGGUGUUGUAUGUAAAGCUGGGAGCACAGAGUCCCACACCGUUGUAUGUGCUCAGCAAAGCUCCCAUUUGCCUCCAGGAGAAUUCUGCCUAUGUAAGGACUUAAGAGCCAUUGCUAGGAGCUAAGAAAAGAGCAUUAUUAAUUCACUUCAUCGCUGGCUCAGUGAAAGCCAACAGCUUUCUGCAGUCUUGCCAAAAUGAAGAGGAGAUGGUCUGAGGUACAUGCAGGGUGAUUUUCAUACCGAAGGUGAGAAAGGAGAAAUCGUUUUAAGGUACGGUAACUUGCCGUACAAACGUGAUCUGUGUUCCCUCCCAGCUUUGAAAGGAGACUUUAUAAACUCUGUGGCCUUUGAUUUGUUAAGGCAACCUUAUACUUAUUUUUUUUAAUUCCCAAGUUUGUGAGAAAAUAGAAAGGAACCCUUGAUGUUCUUAUGCUCUCGAUUAUCACUUCAUUGUAGAAGUAUUUGCUUAAUGAAACAUACAGCAAAUAUUGCACUGUAAAACCUGUUGCAAUGUACUCAAUAUCUUUUGGAAUUAAUAGAAAAAAAAAUACAAGACUGCAGAAAAGGCACUAAUUUUUAUUUUAUCUAAUAAAAAUGUUACUUGACUGCAAAGCACUUUGCUUUAUUUUCUCACUUAUAUUGUAUAUAUUUGAAGAGAAAUGUCUGCUGCACGUCAUCUAUCUAACACAAAAAACUGAUGCUGUUAUUAAUAAGUUACAGAGAAAAAUAAACCAGUUUGCACUUUGAUUUUUAUCAUUCCUAGUGAGCGAUUCCUUUGGAAUAAACAUAACUCUAACACAUGUAAACAACACAGGAAAUUAAUAACAAAAUUCUUUGGAUUUAUUUCAGAUGCCACAUACUUUAUGUAAAUAUAUGCGGCUUUCAAUUUCAAUGAUUUUCCAGUAAGUAAUAAACUUUGCUCAUUAACCUCCUUUUAAACUAAACAUUUAUUACUUUAUAAGUGUUAUUUCAACUAAAUCAAGUGGAUAUGCUCAGUAAAUGAAUGCAACAAAUCUGCUCAGCCAGAGAAGCAGGAUAGCUUCUUUUCAGCUGGGCAUACUGUGAGUUUCUUCUUCAGCUUCAAGGGAGUGGGAUGCAGCUUAAUUUGCUGAUUUUUCAUGUUAAAAAAAAAGAAAAAAAAAAAGGUUGGUAAUACAUAUAUAUUUUAAAAUAAACCUACUUUUUCCUCAUUAGCUCAGUGGUAGAAAACGGGAAAAAUUCCACAAGCUGAAUGAAGUUACAUAUCAUCUCAG
rnacentral:lncRNA from 1 species